rnacentral:rRNA from 1 species
UACGGAGGGUGCGAGCGUUUGUCCGGAAUCACUGGGCGAAAGGGCGCGUAGGCGGCGCGGGCAGUCAACGGUGAAAGCUCGGGGCUCAACCCCGAGUCGGCCGUCGAUACUCCCGUGCUUGAGCACUGUAGAGGCAGGUGGAAUUCCGGGUGUGGCGGUGGAAUGCGUAGAGAUCCGGAAGAACACCGGUGGCGAAGGCGGCCUGCUGGGCAGUAGCUGACGCUGAGGCGCGACAGCGUGGGGAGCAAACAGG